CAUGCCCAACCUUGUCCCCCCAGGGUCCUCUCGGUAAUUUUCGAUAUGACGCCAUAUCGAAAAUUACCCAGAAGACCCUGGGGACGAGGUUAUCCCAUGUCUUCUUUCCUGCUAACUCCAGAGGAGGGUGGACACGGGUGCGCGGGGCACGAUGGGAAAAAUAUCGAUUUUCACUCAUUUGCUUCCUGACGUUGACGAGACAAGACCUCGGCAGGAACAUCAAAUCUGAAAUGGAUAGCAGCACGAGUGGUACAGAGAGCUGGUGCUGGUAACAGACUGUACGCCCAUCCAUCUUCCCUGUCCAAGACAUCGCAAGAGGAAGUGGCUAAUGAACAAAUGCUGAACCACCAAGGAAUAUCAUCCAGCCCGUCCGUACAAACCCUGUACCUGUGCCAAUCUUCAACACCCAGAAAGAGCAACACAGCCCGAUAUUGGUCUUUCUUUAUACGAAAAAAAAGGCAAGAGUGGGGUGGGAGUGGGACAUUAGAAGGAGAGCGCAAAUGACCAGAAAUUUUAGGGAAAGAGAUAAGAGCCUUAGCCUUAGAAAAGAGUGAUAAGAAGGAUUAUGGAGGUAUUUUCAAAGAAAGAAUCAGAAAUAGACAUUAUUUUGGAUGAUAUUGAAAAACAGCUCUUCAGAGUUAUGGAUGUAAUAGGUGACAUUUAAAAAAAAUAUUGUAAAUUUAUACUAGUAAAACUCUAAAUAUAUCUUUUGAUAUAAUUUGAUGAGUUUGCAUUCACACAAUAAAUUUAAAAAUUUCAUAUCUUUGUUUUUGAUAGAUUGUUGCUACUUUAUAUAAGAAAUAUGAUUCCAAACAAUAAGAAAUGAGAUUUCCAACAAUAAAUAAUCCCCUAAAAUA